GGGGGGGGCGGGGGGGGAGGUGCGGUCAGCCACUUCCGCUGGCCAGCGACCCCGCACGCGCCCCCAGAGCCACGGGCGCCGAUUGGCCGGAGCCCACGUGCCCUAAGUGGGUGGGUCCACCCGCAAAACCCUGGCGCUGUCCUCCGCCGCCUCCGCAGCCAGCUGCCUCCGCCCCAGAAGGAGCAGGACUUUUCCCCUUGGGCUUCCCCUUUGACUGCCUUGACCCCGGGGAAAUUUGGAAGGAGCGACUCCCUACUACCCACAGCCCAUUUGGCCUCCCUGCAAAGAAGGAAGGAUGAGAAGGCGGAGGCACCAGGCUUAUUUCCACAGCAUCCUAGGAUGGCAGAGAUGCUGCCCACCAUUUGUUCAGGUCCAUCUGUAAACGAUGAGAGAGAAUCUUCUCUUGCUCCGCGCAGGAGAGUAAACAAGAUUUUGUGUGCAGCCAUUUCUCAUCUUCAUCACUGCUCAUUCCCUGGCCCGAGCCACCAUCACCUAGUGCCAGGACUUUGUGGCAGUCCCCUAACUGGUCCCCUGCUUCCAGUCUUGCCCCUGCUAUAGUCUGUUCUCCAUACAGCAGCCAGGAGGA